GGGCCGAUAGCUCAGCUGGGAGAGCGCUGCGUUCGCAAUGCAGAGGUCGGGAGUUCGAUCCUCCUUCGGUCCACCA
rnacentral:tRNA from 147 species